rnacentral:lncRNA from 1 species
GGCAGAGGGGACACAGCUCCGGCUGGAGGUGGCAGAGGGGACACAGCUCAUGUUUGCAGCAGCAGCGGGGACACAGCUUCUGUUGGGAGUGACAGAGGGGACACAGCUCCUGUUGGGGGGACGGAGGGGACAGAGCUCCUGUUGGGGGGUGGUAGAAGGGACAAAGCUCCUGUUGGGGGGUGGCAGAGGGGACAGAGCUCCUGCUGGAGGUGGCAGAGGGGACACAGCUCCUGCUGGGGGUGACAGAAGGGACACAGCUCCUGCUCGGGGUCGGGGGGGUGAUGAGGUGGGGGACCUCAUCCCGGUGUGUCCCUGCAGGGCUGUGGGUCAGGAACGGGACGGGGCUGAUCCGCAAGGAGGGCCGGCAGCUGUACUGGACCUUCGUCUCCUCCCAGCUGGGAUACUGGGCAGCGGCUCUGCCCUCCCCCAGCACGGGGCUGGUGGCGAUGGCAGCGGGUGUGACAGACAUCACCACCUACCACACCAUCUUCCUCCUCACCAUCCUGGGUGCCCUGGCCCUGCUCGUCCUCAUCCUCCUCUGCCUCCUCAUCUACUACUGCAGGUCAGUGUCCUGCCCGUGGCACGGGGGUGGGAAUGGGGGUCAGCACCCACCUGUAACCCGGGGGGACCAUUUCCUGGCACCCUAAAACUGGUUAUAGGAGGGGCAGUAUCCUCCAGGUACCCCUGGGUGCCCCAUAUCUGCCUUUGGGAAGGGGGGCACUACCCCAAGGCACCCCUAAGUGCCCUAAAGUUGACUAUGGGGAGGAGGCACCAGCCUGUGGCACCCUUGAGUGCCCUGUAACUAUUCUGGGGGAGUCACCACCCCUUGGAACCCCCAAAUGCCCUCUAGUUGGCUACGGGGAGGAGGCACCAGCCUGUGGCACCUCUGGGUGCUCUUUAGCUGGAUUUGGGAGCCAGACGCUGAUCUCCAGAAACACUGGGUGUUCUACAGCUGGCUUGGGAGGGGGGGACACCACUCCCCAGCACCCCUGGGUUUCCUAUAACUGGAUAUGGGGGUGACACAGGGGUGUCACAGGGGACACAGUGUUGACACCCAGCACCCCUGGGUUUCCUAUAACUGGAUUUGGGGGGUGACACACCAUUCCCCAGCACCCCUGGGUGCCCUAUAACUGGAUCUGAGGAGUGAUACAGCACGCCCCAGCAUCCCUGGGUGCCCUAUAACUGGAUUUGGGGGGGUGACACAAGGUGUCACAGGGAACACAGGGGUGACACCCUGCACCCCUGGGUGCCUAUAACUGGAUUUGGGGGGG